AUCCAGCUGACGAGUCCCGAACAGGACGAAACGUGCAUCCUGGAU
rnacentral:hammerhead_ribozyme from 1 species